UGGCCCGCUGCGAAUUUCCACGGAGAAAAAAAUAUGCAGAUGUCAUGCUGAUUUACUGACUCAGCACCUUUUCACUGAAUUUGUCACCUACGGUGGGCUACCGGCCUCGAAAUGAGAACCUGGGCGCAUGCGCGUAUAUCGCAUCUAGGACAAUUUUAUUGUCAAGAGGAGGGAGAUAGGUAAUUAUGGAACGUUUCUAAAGCUGUUUUUGUAUUUUGACGGUCUGUGGCUAAGGCUGGAGAGUGGUGAAGAAUAAUCUUUCAACAGAAAUGUCUGCAAGAUUGUUCAAAACAUUGUUUUCUUUUUUUUAUUUAAGACUCUUCAAUUGACAUAAUUACAGGAAAUAGCAUGUUCAUUAAAUGCAUCAAGCCAUGAGUUUGGGAAGUGAACUACUAUAGAGUGAUCAGUGAAUGGAUAUGUUGGACUUUGUGCAUAGUUGUACUUGUGCGAAGUGGUGAAGUAACUUGGCUUGAAUUUAGAUUCAUCCCUGCUCUCCUAAUUUCUAAAUAAAGUUCUUAAAUUUUCUUCCCGAUUGUACUGUGUUCACGUUGCAAGGAUGGAUUGCGAGUUGGUUGGAUUAGUGGAAACAUUUGCCUACAAAGUGUUGCAUGUUGUUAAAGGGACAGUAUCAUCGAAAAAAAAAUCCAUGUAUGGAGCUGAUUUUUUUUUUUACUAGCAUUUCUUAUUUUUCUGAAUCAGAAAAACAUAGUUUGAGGACCGAACUCGGUGAAAAAUAUUGCAACCACAUUUCAUUUUCAUGAUUCAUUUUCAUGAGCGAACCACCACUAUACAAGCAUGGCCGCCAGUUUGGAAGCAUGCAAAAUUACUACAGAACUGGCGCAGAUAAUACAUUAUUGACGCUACGCUUACGCGGUCGUUCUUCUGAUUGAGUUGUCCUUAGGGAGAGGUAGCCUUAGGUAUUGCCUAUAAAAAUAUAACGUGACAAUUGGAGGGAGUGACAAUUGGACGUGACAAUUGACAAUGGGAGAAAAUAUCACGUGACAAUCACGUGAUAAACGUCAUACAUUGGAGGGAGAUUGUGAUUCAAGCUGGAGGAAUUCCUUUGUUGAGCCGCUAGAAUCCGAAGGAAACAGGGGAAAUUGCCUACGACUAUUUAAUGAAUUUAACGGUGAUGAAUAAGUGCGAAAAACGUUUUGGCUUUAUAAAAUUUGAUGAAAUGACCAGGGUAAAAGUUUUAUUACUGGCGGUCAAUUCAAAACGGCGCAAACAUUUAAACAGUGAAGAUAGUGAAGAACGAUUCAAAGUGUGGUACACCUUUCGUACUUUGAGCGGCGAUAGCGGGAUAACGGUGUGGAGCUUCGAGGAUCGGUCUUCAGUUCCCGGACCAGAAAGGUGGGGCCUAUGCAAUGUCAAAUUUCAUCAAAAUGGUGAUACUGUCCCUUUAAGCACUGCUGGCAAUGCUUAUGGUAUGUGCUGUGUUGGACUUUGUGCAUAGUUGUGCGAAGUGUUGAAGCAACUUUGCUUAAAUUCAGAUUCAUCCCUAGUCUGCUAAUUUUUCAAAAGGUUUAAGUUUCUUCAAUUUUCUUCCUGUUUGUACUGUGUUCAUGUUCCAAGGAUGGGUUGUGAGCUGGUUGGAUUAGUGGAAACAUUUGCCUGCAGAGUGUUGCAUGUUGUUUAGCACUAGUAUUAUUUGCUAGCAGUGCCUAUGGUUAAUUGUUGCUUGUGCAAUUUCAGAAAAAAUAUAUAGAACUUGAUUAAUUAUA